rnacentral:rRNA from 1 species
CCUACGGGUGGCAGCAGUGAGGAAUAUUGGUCAAUGGGAGGGAGCCUGAACCAGCCAAGUCGCGUGAGGGAAGACGGCCCUAUGUGUUGUAAACUUCUUUUGUCGGGGAACAAAGCCGGGGACGCGUCCCCGGCUGCGUGUACCCGAAGAAAAAGCAUCGGCUAACUCCGUGCCAGCAGCCGCGGUAAUACGGAGGAUGCGAGCGUUAUCCGGAUUUAUUGGGUUUAAAGGGUGCGUAGGCGGUCCGUUAAGUCAGCGGUAAAAUUGCGGGGCUAAACCCCGUCGAGCCGUUGAAACUGGCAGACUUGAGUUGGCGAGAAGUAGGCGGAAUGCGCGGUGUAGCGGUGAAAUGCAUAGAUAUCGCGCAGAACGCCGAUUGCGAAGGCAGCGUACCGGCGCCAGACUGACGCUGAGGCACGAAAGCGUGGGGAUCGAACAGGAUGAGAUACCCCUGUAGUC